rnacentral:rRNA from 1 species
UCUUAAAAUCAAAUAAAUACUGAACGUGCCCGAUCUCCUCUGAUUUCGGGAGCUAAGCAGGGUCGGGCCUGGUUAGUACUUGGAUGGGAGACCACCUAGGAAUACCAGGUGCUAUAGGCG